GAAGGUUUUCUAACCUUGAACAACUCCUUGAAGUAAGGGCUGCACGCGGAGAGGACAACCUUGUGCGCCUGGAGACGCCUACCAUCGCAGGCUAAGGUGACAUCAACGAAGUCCUCGUCAUCCCUGAGGGCCUCGAAUUGGCUGGAGACACUUUAGAAAUUUUCGAAAGAUAUAGAAUAUAAAAGAUUCAUUGAGACGAAGAGGGUGAGGGUGGUUUCGCAGGUCAGGCCUGUUUUACUGCACCCUCGUGCUACUGAUUUGAGAUGAGGCUCUCAUUACUCUGGAAAAAAAU